AUUGUUAUUUUCUCAGGUAAAAUUAGCACUUUGAUCCCACUCGACUUUGAAUCCCUCAUUACCUACAAACUAACCAUCCAAGCUGUGGAUAUAAAUAAUGAUGUGCUGCCCGAUCCAAAACAACAGAAAACCGCCUGGGCCGAGUAUACCAUUAACAUGCAGAACGUGAAUGAUAUCCCUCCGGUGUGUAACCCAUCAAUCUACGAACAGACCAUUUACUCUACCUUGACCGGGAGUGUCCCCAUUGUUACCAUCUCCUGCACUGAUAAAGAUUCUGCUUCCCUCCACUACAGUAUAGUGGGAGGGAACACAAACGAUCGCUUUGUCAGUAUCAGGAAUCAGGUGUACUCGAGGAACACCUCUCCUAUCACAGUGAGGGGGUGAACGACCAAACAACCUUUGAAUUACUGAUACAAGUCACUGACAGUGAAGACGGAAAACAGAGCAUUCAUCUGACGACCACGGCAACAGUCAUCAUCCACGUUGUACCUUGGACAACCACCUUUCCGACCACGACCACACAGCUAACGACACAAAGAAGAGACGUCAAAGUGGUGACUGUGCUGAACACGUACUGGAAGCCACCCAUUUGGUUUGUGACAGUUCUGACAGCUGUAGCGGUCUUGGCUAUAAUAACACUGGCUUUGCUCCUGUGGAAAGUCAUCUCAAGGGCCCCAUGUUACAACCGGCUUGUUCCUCCACAAGAGAUGUCGCAGCCUCUGGUGCAGGACAGGUCACUGACCGACACUGAAUCACUGGAAAAUGAAAGUAAAAAUGUGAGCUCCAAGGGCAAGGAGGACAUACCACCACAAAGUACCCCCAGCCUGCAACAAUUUGAUGGCAGAGCAGUGGAUCCAGGGACUGGCAGAGAUUACCUCUUCAACACCGACACGGGAGCACGGCGCUGGGUUUGAGACAUCGCCAGAGCAAAUACAAGCUGCCUCUCUCUCUGGAAACAUUGCGCGGAUUACGUCCCGAGUCCGUGCAAUCGUCUUAACGUUAAAUCAUGAAACACUGCACGAGGGAGAUGAGGGCGGGUGGCAAGAUUUUCAGACUUUACGUGAUCUUUCUUCGUUUUGUUGGAAGAAUACGAUUUAAACCUUUGCUCGAUUUUGUAGUUGUUGACGACAUGAUUGUGCAUAAAGAUACUCAAAGGGUUUUGGGGGAAAUAGCAGUGACAUGGGGAGCUAAAUCAGCGCCGAAAUAUCAAUACGAGUCAGUAAUAAAACGCUUCAAUUUUUUUUACGUGUAUAAAAAAUAAAAAAAA